GACGAACGCUGGCGGCGUGCUUAACACAUGCAAGUCGAACGGAAAGGCCCUGCUUUUGUGGGGUGCUCGAGUGGCGAACGGGUGUGUAACACGUGAGUAACCUGCCCUUGACUUUGGGAUAACUUCAGGAAACUGGGGCUAAUACCGGAUAGGAGCUCCUGCUGCAUGGUGGGGGUUGGAAAGUUUCGGCGGUUGGGGAUGGACUCGCGGCUUAUCAGCUUGUUGGUGGGGUAGUGGCUUACCAAGGCUUUGACGGGUAGCCGGCCUGAGAGGGUGACCGGCGACAUUGGGACUGAGAUACGGCGCAGACUCCUACGGGAGGCAGCAGUGGGGAAUAUUGCACAAUGGGCGGAAGCCUGAGGCAGCAACGCCGCGUGCGGGAUGACGGCCUUCGGGUUGUAAACCGCUUUCGCCUGUGACGAAGCGUGAGUGACGGUAAUGGGUAAAGAAGCACCGGCUAACUACGUG
rnacentral:rRNA from 1 species